UGGUCCUACGGGGCGCAGCAGUGAGGAAUAUUGGUCAAUGGGCGGGAGCCUGAACCAGCCAAGUCGCGUGAGGGAAGACGGUCCUAUGGAUUGUAAACCUCUUUAGGCGGGGAGCAAUGCCGGGCACGCGUGUCCGGAGGGAGAGUACCCGCAGAAUAAGCAUCGGCUAACUCCGUGCCAGCAGCCGCGGUAAUACGGAGGAUGCGAGCGUUAUCCGGAUUUAUUGGGUUUAAAGGGUGCGCAGGCGGAAGAUCAAGUCAGCGGUAAAAUUGAGAGGCUCAACCUCUUCGAGCCGUUGAAACUGG
rnacentral:rRNA from 1 species